AAGACCAUGCUCUACAGGAUCAGUUCUGUAGUAGGUGUUCGUCUACCUCUUCCCUAACACGGAAGUAGAUUCAACCACGAUGAGGAGCAAAAGCUCCCUUCCUUGAGCGUGAGGACGACCGAGGUCUCGGGAACUCUGAGAACUCGGUCAUCGAUGAUCGUUCGCCUCUUGCACUCGGUGCAAGGGGGAGGGGAAGGGAGUAUUCUGAGUGGC
rfam:Harpegnathos saltator strain R22 G/1 HarSal_1.0_2.contig7166, whole genome shotgun sequence.